UCAACUAACGUUAGCUUAAACUAGCCAGUUAACGUUAGCUAACCUACAUGCAUUAACGCUAUAACUUGGUAUAAUCUUUUAUGAAAUCCGCAUUAAAUAAGUUAAAAAAAAACUGUAGGACACUGUAUGUAACCUAGGUUAGCUGUUCAAUUAACGUUAAUAUAUUUAUUAUUCGCAACUCAUUCAUAGACAUUUUUCUUCCAGCGUUAUUUACAUUCAAUGGUUCAGGUUAUUUUUGAUGUUGCUAAUUUGGCAUCAUUCAGGGCACUCCCUCUUCGGCCAGAUAAGGUUUUCUCUCAUGUGGAGGAGCAGUUUUAAAAGACCCAAAGGCAUCCCUAUAUCAUCAUCAGAAGUAAAUCUCUAUGGCACUACAUCAGGAUGCUUGAAAUGGUCGCCGAUAGAUAUUCUUGUGACUUUACAAUGCACUGUAUAACUGUUUAUUUUAAAUACCACGUUGUAAAUAAUACAAAACCAGUUUACACAGCACAAUGCAAAUAAAAUAUUUAAACUCACCUAACUGGUGUGGCAAGUCAUAUUCAGCAGUAUCUCACCUACAAAAUUAAAUCAUUAACGCAAGUAGAAUUUCGAACCUCUGUACAUUCAGAGGUUUGCUGGGUACAGUAGUAAGGCAGUCAGCACAGCCGAUAACAUUUUAAAAAU